rnacentral:rRNA from 1 species
CACGGGGGGAGCAAGCGUUGUUCGGAAUCACUGGGCGUAAAGGGCGUGUAGGCGGUCAAGUAAGUGGAAUGUGAAAGCCCCCGGCUUACCCGGGGAUCUGCAUCCCAAACUGCUUGGCUUGAGUACGGGAGAGGAUGUGGGAAUUCCUGGUGUAGCGGUGAAAUGCGUAGAUAUCAGGAGGAACACCGGUGGCGAAGGCGCACAUCUGGCCCGAUACUGACGCUGAGGCGCGAAAGCGUGGGGAGCAAACAGG